GCGGUAUAGCUCAGCUGGUUAGAGCAGCGGAAUCAUAAUCCGUUUGUCGUUGGUUCGAGUCCGACUACCGC
rnacentral:tRNA from 1 species